GCCUGGGUGGCUCAGUCGGUUGAGCAUCGGACUCCGGCUCAGGUCAUGAUCUCACAGCUCGUGAGUUCAAGCCCCACGUCAGGCU
rnacentral:tRNA from 1 species